UACGUAGGGUGCGAGCGUUAAUCGGAAUUACUGGGCGUAAAGCGUGCGCAGGCGGUGAUGUAAGACAGUUGUGAAAUCCCCGGGCUCAACCUGGGAAUUGCAUCUGUGACUGCAUCGCUAGAGUACGGUAGAGGGGGAUGGAAUUCCGCGUGUAGCAGUGAAAUGCGUAGAUAUGCGGAGGAACACCGAUGGCGAAGGCAAUCCCCUGGACCUGUACUGACGCUCCAUGCACGAAAGCGUGGGGAGCAAACAGG
rnacentral:rRNA from 1 species